rnacentral:rRNA from 1 species
UUUUGCAUYAUGCUGUGUCGAUUAUUUAAUUUAUUUAUUUUUUACCGAAAGGGUUUGAUUUUUUGUUCAGUUGUGAUUGUUUGUAAUCGGGUAGAGUUUUAAACUGAUGUAAUGUUGUGAUAAAUUAGUCGUUUUCCUUUAUAUCUGUUUAUUGCUUUGGUUAUCUUAUUAAUUGUGGGGCAGAGAAGUCUUGCAAGGGGGCAUAUGCUUUAUUUGUUUUUAAUUAAACAGGGUUAAAAAUACCCCUUUGUUUGAGUUUUGUUAUAAUUUAUUUUAUUAUUAUUUGCAUUGUAUAUAAUUGGCAAUUAUAUUUAAUUAGUUGUUAUAUAUAUGAUACAAUGAGUAAUGAGAUAAAUUAUAUUGUUUCUCAAGCGCAUUCCGUCUGUUUAUUAAAAACAUUUCUAUAAUUAUUUUUUUAUAGUAGGGCCUGCUCUAUGUUUAGUUAUUAAUGGCCGCAGUAUUUUGACUGUGCGAAGGUAGCAUAAUUAAUUGCCUCUUAAUUAGGGGCUUGUUUGAAUGGCUUGACGAGGUUGUUGUGAACAUUAUUUUUGUUUUUGAAAUUAAUUUUGAGGGCACAGAAUCCUCUUUAUUUAAUUAGACGGAAAGACCCCGGGAUCUUUUAUUUUGCCUGGGGCAGGUUAUAAUUUUUCAAUUUUAUAUUUUGAUCUUAAUUUGGGCUUGUUGGUUUAAGUUACCCCGGGGAUAACAGUGUAAUAAUUUAUUAGAGACCAUAUCGGAUAAAUUGUUUGCCACCUCGAUGUUGACUUAGGUAUAUAGCUGGGCGCAGUAGUUUUGCUAUGUGGUCUGUUCGACCUUUAUUGCCUCCAUGAGUUGAGUUAAGACCGGCGUGAGCCAGGUCGGUUCUUAUCUAUU